rnacentral:rRNA from 1 species
AUUGAACGCUGGCGGAAUGCUUUACACAUGCAAGUCGAACGGCAGCACGGGGGCAACCCUGGUGGCGAGUGGCGAACGGGUGAGUAAUACAUCGGAACGUGCCCAAUCGUGGGGGAUAACGUAGCGAAAGCUACGCUAAUACCGCAUACGAUCUACGGAUGAAAGCGGGGGAUCGCAAGACCUCGCGCGAAUGGAGCGGCCGAUGGCAGAUUAGCUUGUUGGUAGGGUAACGGCCUACCAAGGCUACGAUCAGUAGGGGUUCUGAGAGGAUUAACCCCCACACUGGUACUGAGACACGGACCAGACUCCUACGGGAGGCAGCAGUGAGGAAUAUUGGUCAAUGGGCGGAAGCCUGAACCAGCCAUCCCGCGUGAAGGAAGACAGCCUUACGGGUUGUAAACUUCUUUUCUGUCAGAAGAAUAAGCUUGCGAGACGAGUGAUGCCGGUAUGACAGGAAUAAGCAUCGGCUAACUCCGUGCCCAGCAGCCGCGGU